rnacentral:tRNA from 1 species
GGAGGGGUGCCGGAGUGGUUGAUCGGGGCGGUCUCGAAAACCGUUGUGGGGCUUGCCUCACCGUGGGUUCGAAUCCCACCUCCUCCG